GAUGAAGAACGUAGCGAAAUGCGAUAAGUAAUGUGAAUUGCAGAAUUCAGUGAAUCAUCGAAUCUUUGAACGCACCUUGCGCCCUUUGGCCAUUCCGAAGGGCAUGCCUGUUUGAGUAUCAUGAACACCUCAACUCUUCAUGGUUUUCCAUGAUGAGCUUGGACUUUGGGGGUCUUGCUGGCCUGUGGGUCGGCUCCUCUCAAAUGGAUCAGCUUGCCGGUUUUUGGUGGGCAUCACAGGUGUGAUAACUAUCUACGCUUGUGGUUUUCCACCAGGGUAACCUUCAGCAGUGGAGGUUCACUGGAGCUUACAAAUGUCUCUCCUCUGUGAGGACAGCCCUUUGAAUGUUUGAACUCAAAUCAGGUAGGACUACCCGCUGAACUUAAGCAUAUCAAUAAGCGGAGGA
rnacentral:misc_RNA from 1 species